AAAAAUAACAAGCCACUAUUUGAUCUUAAACCGGCCCACACCAAAUAACCUUGUCCAAAGGCUAAGCGACGAUGAAAAGGAAAUAAACACGAACCCUAGUUUUGCACUCCUCAAGCCGUCGUCGCCCUCACCACCACCGUCGCCGUCCUUCGUUCUCCUCGCCGUCGUCGGCCUUCUUUCUCCUCGCCGCCGUCAGCCUUCUUCGCUUCUUCACCAUCGCCACUUCUUACUUGCGGCGAACGCACGAAAGGGGCAACAGAGCCGCCUGUGGUAAGGCUCGUCCUCCCAUGUUGCCGUAUCCUACUUACUGGCGCCACCUCCUCCUUCCCUACAUCCUCCGGUGAUUAUCCUGCUUAAAAUGGUAGGUGCAAGCACAAAGAAGAAGCAAGAAAUGAGUUGAAUGUCUUUUCGGUGAUGACAAUGACUUUUAUAUCUUGGUCAUUGCAAGGUUUAAUGAAAUCGUCACAAGGCCUUUGAUGGAUGGUGCUUUGGACACAUUCAAUUCAGAGAGGAAGGUGGUGUGCGUUCCUGGUUUUGAGAUUGGUUUAGUAGCUGAAAAGCUUUGAAAGUCAGGUAAGCACCCACUAUAAUGUUGUUGCAAACAUAGCUGCAUCCGUAGUCCUUUCUGAUGGCCUUAAUUCAGGCCUUGAAUUGUGUUGGUGGUAAAGCAUGGAAUAAGGGCUCUGAGGAAGCUUUGACUGAUCUUGAGAUGACAUCUUUGUUUUGAAGAGUAAUAGAUUAAUGUUUUGCAAUACUAUUUCAUCCACAGUGUUCAAAGGAUCUUGAGAAUGCAAAUCCAAUUAUUGCAGAAAAAACUGGAAGAGUUGAAUCUUCAUUUUUUUGGCUUUUUUUGUGUAAUUUUUUUGGAAAUUUGUGCUAAGCUUUUGUUGAGUAGGUGAUGUAUGUCUGCAUAAUAAUUUUUUUUAAGCCAAGUGAAAAAUAAAUUGUCCCCCAA